rnacentral:rRNA from 1 species
AGCAGCCGCGGUAAUUCCAGCUCCAAUAGCGUAUAUUAAAGUUGUUGCAGUUAAAAAGCUCGUAGUUGAAUUUCGGGAUCAAUAUGUCGGUCGUGCCUCGGUACGUACUGGCAUCAUUGGUUUCUCCCUUCUGAUGAACCAUGAUGCCAUUAAUUUGGUGUCGUGGGGAAUCAGGACUGUUACUUUGAAAAAUUAGAGUGUUUAAAGCAGGCUCACGCUUGAAUACAUUAGCAUGGAAUAAUGAAAUAGGACGUUUGAUUCUAUUUUGUUGGCUUCUAGGAUCGACGUAAUGAUUAAUAGGGAUAGUUGGGGGCAUUAGUAUUCAAUUGUCAGAGGUGAAAUUCUUGGAUUUAUUGAAGACUAACUACUGCGAAAGCAUUUGCCAAGGAUGUUUUCAUUAAUCAAGAACGAAAGUUAGGGGAUCGAAGACGAUCAGAUACCGUCGUAG